rnacentral:rRNA from 1 species
CGUAGGGUGCGAGCGUUAAUCGGAAUUACUGGGCGUAAAGCGUGCGCAGGCGGUUUUGUAAGCCAGAUGUGAAAUCCCCGGGCUUAACCUGGGAAUGGCAUUUGGGACUGCAAGGCUGGAGUGCGGCAGAGGAGACUGGAAUUCCUGGUGUAGCAGUGAAAUACGUAGAUAUCAGGAGGAAUACCGAUGGCGAAGGCAGGUCUCUGGGCUGACACUGACGCUCAUGCACGAAAGCGUGGGGAGCAAACAGGAUUAGAUACCCUGGUAGUCCACGCCCUAAACGAUGUCGACUGGUUGUUGGGGGUUUGACACUCUCAGUAACGAAGCUAACGCGUGAAGUCGACCGCCUGGGGAGUACGGCCGCAAGGUUA